AAAGGGUGCGUAGGUGGCCUGUUAAGUCAGGGGUGAAAGACGGUAGCUUAACUAUCGCAGUGCCCUUGAUACUGAUGGGCUUGAAUGAACUAGAGGUAGGCGGAAUGUGACAAGUAGCGGUGAAAUGCAUAGAUAUGUCACAGAACACCAAUUGCGAAGGCAGCUUACUAUGGUUUUAUUGACACUGAGGCACGAAAGCGUGGGGAUCAAACAGGAUUAGAUACCCGUGU
rnacentral:rRNA from 1 species